rnacentral:rRNA from 1 species
GAUGAACGCUAGCGGCAGGCUUAAUACAUGCAAGUCGAACGGAAACAGGUGCAGCAAUGCAUGCUGUCGAGUGGCGCACGGGUGCGUAACACGUAUGCAACCUACCCUUUACCGGGACAUAACCCUUAGAAAUGGGGGCUAAUAUUCCAUGUGAUUACGAAUAAGGCAUCUUUUUGUAAUUAAAGUUACGGUGGUAAAGGAUGGGCAUGCGUCCCAUUAGUUAGUUGGUGAGGUAACGGCUCACCAAGACUGUGAUGGGUAGGGGUUCUGAGAGGAUUAUCCCCCACACUGGUACUGAGACACGGACCAGACUCCUACGGGAGGCUG